rnacentral:siRNA from 1 species
CUCGCUAAUAUGUGGUUUGGUCUC